CGCGAUUGGAGCGGCCGAUAUCAGAUUAGGUAGUUGGUGAGGUAAAGGCUCACCAAGCCGACGAUCUGUAGCUGGUCUGAGAGGACGACCAGCCACACUGGGACUGAGACACGGCCCAGACUCCUACGGGAGGCAGCAGUGGGGAAUUUUUGGACAAUGGGCGCAAGCCUGAUCCAGCCAUUCCGCGUGCAGGAUGAAGGCCUCGGGUUGUAAACUGCUUUUGUACGGAACGAAACGGUGAGCUCUAAUACAGUUUGCUAAUGACGGUACCGUAAGAAUAAGCACCGGCUAACUACGUG
rnacentral:rRNA from 1 species